rnacentral:rRNA from 1 species
ACGCUGACAGAAUGCUUAACACAUGCAAGUCUACUUGAAUUUGGGUUUUUUAACUUCGAUUUGGGUGGCGGACGGGUGAGUAACGCGUAAAGAACUUGCCUCACAGCUAGGGACAACAUUUGGAAACGAAUGCUAAUACCUGAUAUUAUGAUUAUAGGGCAUCCUAGAAUUAUGAAAGCUAUAUGCGCUGUGAGAGAGCUUUGCGUCCCAUUAGCUAGUUGGAGAGGUAACGGCUCACCAAGGCGAUGAUGGGUAGCCGGCCUGAGAGGGUGAACGGCCACAAGGGGACUGAGACACGGCCCCUACUCCUACGGGAGGCAGCAGUGGGGAAUAUUGGACAAUGGACCGAGAGUCUGAUCCAGCAAUUCUGUGUGCACGAUGACGUUUUUCGGAAUGUAAAGUGCUUUCAGUUGGGAAGAAAAAAAUGACGGUACCAACAGAAGAAGUGACGGCUAAAUACGUGCCAGCAGCCGCGGUAAUACGUAUGUCACGAGCGUUAUCCGGAUUUAUUGGGCGUAAAGCGCGUCUAGGUGGUUAUGUAAGUCUGAUGUGAAAAUGCAGGGCUCAACUCUGUAUUGCGUUGGAAACUGUGUAACUAGAGUACUGGAGAGGUAAGCGGAACUACAAGUGUAGAGGUGAAAUUCGUAGAUAUUUGUAGGAAUGCCGAUGGGGAAGCCAGCUUACUGGACAGAUACUGACGCUGAAGCGCGAAAGCGUG